UUUAUUUUAGAAAUUAGAGGCAUGAAUUUAGAAAAUUAGAGAAGAAUGAAGAGUGGAAAUUAGAAAAUGUUGAAAAGAAUAGAGGUGUGGUAUUUGAUGUAGAGAGGUGGUUGUGGUUGUUGGCCAUCGUGCCAUCUCUUUGGUGAGAUUGUGCUUGUCGGCUAUCGUGCCGUUUAUUAUGUUGCAGGUUUUGGAAACCUCCCCGUGCAGGGGAGUUGCUGCCGAAAUUUUGAAUUAAAUAGUGCUCUGUUUCUUUUGUUGCAGGAGAGGCUUACAAGGACCGUCCUCGACUCGGCACUUUGCAGGAUAGCAA
rnacentral:lncRNA from 1 species